rnacentral:rRNA from 1 species
AGAGUUUGAUCAUGGCUCAGAACGAACGCUGGCGGCGUGCCUAACACAUGCAAGUCGAGCGCGAAUAGGGGCAACCCUUAGUAGAGCGGCGCACGGGUGCGUAACACGUGGGUAAUCUGCCUUGGAGCCUGGGAUAACUACCCGAAAGGGUAGCUAAUACCGGAUAAGCCCACGGCCUCCUCGGAGGCUGAGGGAAAAGGUGGCCUCUGCAUGCAAGCUAUCACUCCAAGAUGAGCCCGCGGCCCAUCAGCUAGUUGGCGGGGUAACGGCCCACCAAGGCGACGACGGGUAGCUGGUCUGAGAGGACGAUCAGCCACACUGGAACUGAGACACGGUCCAGACUCCUACGGGAGGCAGCAGUGGGGAAUUUUGCGCAAUGGGCGAAAGCCUGACGCAGCAACGCCGCGUGUGUGAUGAAGGUCUUCGGAUUGUAAAGCACUUUCGGCCGGGACGAAAACCCGUCUGCUAACAUCAGACGGCUUGACGG